AGCAGUGUGGUGUAGUGGUAAGGAGAAGGGCUAAUAACCCAAAGGUUGCUGGUUUGAUUCCCCAGUGGGCCACUGCUA
rnacentral:tRNA from 1 species